CUCCACUGAAAGACAGGGCUGUUCUCCAGUUCCUCUUGUUUCCUUGACCUAACAAGUAUUUUGUUUUCAUCCACCGUUUCCCUCUGAGAAAGGCGAGUUUCCAAGCAUGAGCUGUCUUUCAAUCACAUGCCAGGGGAGCCCUCCUAGUCCAGUGAAUGAGAGUGAAGAUGUUAAGGGCGAUGCACAGGGAUUUGGGGAGGUUUCAUUGCCAACUCCUUUAGGCUGUUAUUUCGCUUUUAAUGGGCUCGCCUCCCUCCAGCCCACACUUAGCGAACCAGUUGUUGUCAUGUGCCUGGCUGAAGAUGUAUCCGCAAAGUUAACUUGACGCAGGAAACUUCUUUUCCUUCCAUCUUGACUUAGCAGCAAACAAAGGAAGGAAUGCCAAGUGACAAAAGCCUGCUGGGGACCUCUCCUCUCUUUUGAAGAUCCAUUUCACACCCCGUAUUCUGGUGGGCAUGGAGCAUUUCCCACACCGUAUCUUGCAAAAAUGCAACAUUGUGCAAAAGAUAACUCUCCCUCAUAAUUGGUUUGCUGAAAUUUGUUCAAGUUCCAACAAUGCCACUGGGAAAAAAGAUACUACGUCAUGGUAUUUUUAUGGGGGCGGGGGGCGUGUUUUGAAUUGGCAGCCUGCUGGCCACUGAUCACCACCAUUGUUGUGGCAACAGAGCAAUAGAGUUGAAACUACAAAAAAAAAAAAAAAAUGCUUUUACCAGGAAAAACUUUCUGCAUCCAAGAAUUCAAAAAAAAAUUUCUUCCAGCUCUUUCAAAAAAAUUAAUUUCUUCCCACUCAUUUAUGAAACCCACUCAGUGCCGGAUUUACCUAUAAGCUAAACAAGCUAUAGCUUAGGGCCCCACUCUCGGGGGGGGGGGGGGAAUUAAAGAAAAAAAAAACCUGGAUGUACAUUUCCAAAAUAUAAGAUAAAAAAACAAAUAAAAUAAAACCUACAUACAGCAACAGUGUUUUGUGUUGUAUAGGCUCCUAUGAUGUAAGUAAUGGGCCCCACCUGCUCCUUAAAAUAUUAUGGUCCAUAAAUUACCAUAUAGCAUAUAUUCAACACACAAAAACCAGCGACAAUUUGUUAUUGACAAAGGACAGCUGGACAAAUAAAGGGCCCCAUUACCUUCAGUAGCUGAGGGCCUCAUCAAACCUAAAUCCGGCCCUGAACCCACUGGUGGACCUUGGGCCACACACUACUUCUCAGCCUAACUUACCUCACAGGGUUGUUUUGAUGAUGAAACGUGAAGGGAGUGAACCAGGUACAUGACCUUGAGUUCCUUGGAGAAGGGGGUGGGAUAUAAAUGUAAUUAAAUAAUCAUAAUAUUUUUUAAACAAACAAACAAACAAAAAUCCCACACACACAGGAAGUACGUGUGCACAACUAGCCCAAAGGGAGAUAAUUUUUCCACAUGGCUCUCAACUAGGUGGCUCUUUUAAGCCGCCAUCACACACUCAAAAUGAGUUUUGAACAAAAGAAGAUUGCAUUUUCUAUAAAACUACUGAAGGAUCUAUGUGCCCCCCCACCCCCCGGCUGUGGCAGGGACCUAAUGGGCUAUUGUGGAAUUACUGUUCGUGCUAUGGCACCCUCUUCAGGCAAAGAAAGGAAUAGCAGUGUGUAACAUCAGCCCUUGUGAUUGUCUUACAGUAUGAAGCCUUGCUGCUCAGUGCUCCAGCUUUCAGCUCAAGUUGUGGACCUCAGGAGCUCCAGGGGCUCAGGAACGUUUCCUCCAGAACUAGCUUCUGGAGCUAACGAACCCAAAUGUGAUCAGACUUAAUACAGCUGCUCUUACUUCCCAGCAUUAAAAAAAAUAAAAAAAAAUCCUUGGCUUUGUUUGCUAUGCUAAUGCUCACAUUGCCAAUUCCGCUGCCAUUUAUUCACUGAUGCAGUUAAGAGGAUGGAUUGGCAGGCAAAACACUUUUUAAAAGAUUAUUUUAGAAACAGUUAUUUUAUGUGGGGUGAGGGGGUGGGGUGGGGGAGAGAGAAUUAGCAUAACAGAGUCAAGAUACUGCUGAGUAAAGCUUCCCUGCUUUAAAUAUAGCUGCAGACCUAUCUUGACGUAGAGAGAGGGCCAAGAGACAGAGAUCUAUGUGCUUUAAUCAUCUGUUUCAGAGAGCCGAUGAGAAUGUGCUAAUCGUGCAGUUUUAAGCCAGGGAACAUGGCUGCAAUUCCAUCAUGGUUCUCUGCAGUUCCCUAAAGUGUACUUUGACUCCUGCCUUUAAUACAGGGUUUAGGACAUUCUGCCAAAAUGUAAACAGACACAGACGUCUCCCCAGAGCACCUAUUAUUAUUAUUAUUAUUAUUAUUAUUAUUAUACUGCGGGUUACAUACGCUUCAGCUUACAGACGCUUCAGGUUACAGACUCGGCUAACCCAGAAAUAUUACCUCGGGUUAAGAACUUUGCUUCAGGAUGAGAACAGAAAUCGUGCGGCGGCAGCGGGAGGCCCCAUUAGCUAAAGUGGUGCUUCAGGUUAAGAACAGUUUCAGGUUAAGAACGGACCUCUGGAACGAAUUAAGUACUUAACCCAAGGUACCACUGUAUUAUUAUAUCACCUAUUAUUAUUUCUGUCAUCCAUCUCUGGGACAUCAAUGUUCCUUCUCUUUUCCAAAAGUGGAACUGGAAAAAGCCUGCCAUUUGGGUGGGGUACAGAGAAUGUAACUAAUUUUGCACCCCUGUUUUGCCACAUCUUAAUCUUACACUUGUGACAAUCUUACAGCUUUUGGUCUGGAGCCGGAGAACAGCAGAUGAAUACUUAUCUGGAGAUGUCAAUACUUAUCUGGAGAUGUCAAUACUUAUCUGGAGAUGUCAAGAUUUUCCUCCGUUCCUCUACAUGUUGUGGAGUGCUUUGUAUGUGCCCUUACAAUAUCCAAGCACAGAAAUACAAACACCGUGAUCUGCACUUUACAUCAACUCUGAUGGCCCACUUUUGAUCACAGUACCGUGUCCUGGUAAUAUGCCAUUCAUUAUUUACUGGAAGGAGCCAGUGAUGGAAACUCGAGGAUGUAGAAAAAUAAGAGCUGUGGGAAACAUCCAGUGUUUCUUGGGGUUCUGCAGAUGCAAUUGCUAUGCCAGCAGAUACUUGGAAAGGAGGG